UACGUAGGGUGCAAGCGUUGUCCGGAAUUAUUGGGCGUAAAGAGCUUGUAGGCGGUUUGUCGCGUCUGCUGUGAAAUUUCGGGGCUCAACCCCGAACUUGCAGUGGGUACGGGCAGACUAGAGUGUGGUAGGGGAGACUGGAAUUCCUGGUGUAGCGGUGAAAUGCGCAGAUAUCAGGAGGAACACCGAUGGCGAAGGCAGCUCACUGGGACGGUACUGACGCUGAGGCGCGAAAGCGUGGGGAGCAAACAGG
rnacentral:rRNA from 1 species